AGAGUUUGAUCCUGGCUCAGAGCGAACGUUAGCGGCGGGCCUAACACAUGCAAGUCGCACGAGAAAGGGGCUUCGGCCCCGAGUAAAGUGGCGGACGGGUGAGUAACACGUGGGUAAUCUGCCUCUCAGCGGGGGAUAACUAGCCGAAAGGCUAGCUAAUACCGCAUACGUCGGAGGGUUCCAAGGGACCCUCCGGGAAAGCCGGCCACUCCAUGGAAGCUGGCCCUGAGAGAGGAGCCCGCGGCGCAUCAGCUAGUUGGUGAGGUAAUGGCUCACCAAGGCGUAGACGCGUAGCUGGUCUGAGAGGAUGAUCAGCCACACUGGGACUGAGACACGGCCCAGACUCCUACGGGAGGCAGCAGUGGGGAAUAUUGGGCAAUGGGCGCAAGCCUGACCCAGCCACGCCGCGUGAGUGAUGAAGGCCUUCGGGUCGUAAAGCUCUGUGGGGAGGGACGAAAGCCCUUCGGUGAAUAGCCGGAGGUUUGACGGUACCUCCUAGCAAAGGCACGGGGCAAUCCCCG
rnacentral:rRNA from 1 species